rnacentral:rRNA from 1 species
GACGAACGCUGGCGGCGUGCUUAACACAUGCAAGUCGAACGGAAAGGACCUGCUGUUGUGGGGUUCUCGAGUGGCGAACGGGUGAGUAACACGUGAGUAACCUGCCCUCGACUUUGGGGUAACUUCAGGAAACUCGGGUUAAUACCGCAUAUAAGCUUCUGCUGCACGGUGGGUGUUGGAAAGUUGCGGGGGGUGGUGAUGGACUCGCGGCUUAUCAGCUUGCUGGUGGGGGAGUGGCAUACCAAGGGUUUGACGGGUCGCCGACAUGAGAGGGUGAACGGGGACAUUGGGACUGAGGUACGGAGCAGUCUGCAAUGGGGGGCAGCAGUGGCAAGUAUUGCGGAGUGAGGGGACGCGUGAUGAGAAGACGCCGCGUGCGGAAAGACGGGCUUCGGGUUGUAAACAGCUUUCGGAUGUGACGAAGCGUGAGUGACGGUAAUGGGUAAAGAAGCACCGGCUAACUACGUG